ACUCUGUAUGGCAUGUUGUUGUUACAUGUCAUGUCACGUUUGUUUGAUAGCGUUAAACAAAAUUACAUAGUCACUUAUUGCAAUCAGAUUUGCUUGUGAUUACAUCUGUGCUAAAGUGUCACACUCUCAAGGAUGAUUAGAUUCCUGUGAUAAAAUUUUAGCUGAAAGUGAUGGCAAGUUUAGUAGCAAUCAUGAUGGGUGUUACGAAGCAUAGUACAAGAAGUUAUGCACAUUAAUAGAUGACAUUUUAAGUCAUACAUGUGAAAGUAUGACUAUACUUCGGAGCUUUUUUUCAUUUCUUAUGAUAUGGGAGCUUCAGUUUCUAAACAGAUGCAUAUAUCUCAAACUAUAAGAAGCUACGAAAGCAAAAUUAACUGUGAAAUUGGAAGACACCUGAAAUGAUAACUAUUCGAAAAGAAAAUAAAGCAGCCUUUCUCAAUUGGGAAGCAUUCGGAUGGACGGGUUCCAAAUGUUUUUUUUUUAUACAUUCAUCUGAACAACUAGUUAUUGUUGGCUGCUAGAUCAACAGCUGAACUGAAGCAUAACAUAUUAAAUAAGAAAAUGCAGGGCACAAUGGUCGUUAGAAGACCAAUUUGUCAGGGCGCCAUGAAGAAUGAAUAUUGUGGUUACGGUUUCUACAACAAUGGGACAAAUGCAGCGUAAUAUGCGAUGAACAAUCAAGAUCUUAAAAGGUUAUUAAUUAAGGAUUUGGAUAAUUAUCAUGGAUAAGACGCUCAACAGAAGUUCUAUGACGAUCUAAGUGCUACCAAACGGUGCGUUUUGGCGUCACUUUAUGAGUCCGACCAUCACAACAUCGGUCGCAAUGCUGGCCAUGGCAUUUUUCCUAUAUCGACAAACGUAAGCUGAACCAUGUAGUUUCGCUUGUUGCGGAAUUUUGUGACAUUUCAGCUCGAUUUUAAUUGUCCCAAAGUGACUUGACGGGCAUUUGAGUUACUUUCACACGGUGAAUUGAUACGAAAAGAUAGCGGCUAUUCACCAAAGCCUACAUAUUCAUUUUACUCUACCAACAAAAUAUUAUAUCAGCUUUAUUAUUAUUAUUAAGGUUCUGCAACCAAAACUUUAAUCCGAGACACUGUUCGUCAAGCUCGUGAGGGUAAUCGUCAGAAAAGUGUAAGUCAGACAGCUUUCAAUUUCGUCUAAGUGGAAAGUGCCGCCAAUAGUCAAUUGCCACCAAUUAAGGUAAUUCUUAAACUAUUAUGGAAACCAUGUUUUCUCUCAGUAGAUACCACAUGCCUUAACAUACAUUAGGUCUCUACGUAAAGUCUCUUGUGUGAAAGAAGCACAAUCACCAUUAUGUCUGACACUAUGAGCUUCCCAAACAUAUAAAUCUAACAGCUCAAAAGUCUUUAGUAGGGUUGAAAGUUUGUUUAAUUAUUUAUACAGACUUAUGAUGUGCGGUGGAAUUAUUUAUUUUUUUUUUGUUAACCAUGACUUUCUACACAAAAUUCUUUCAAGUUCUUGGAAUAAUUUACAUGAAACGGAUUGAAAGGUAGUUUGUUUAACUGUAAGCAUGUGACUCCUGAUCUACAAUAAGUUUGAUGGUUUUAGCCUAGUUGUUGCAUAAACGAACUAUUAAGAUUAUUAAUUUAAACCUCUACAGCAUCUGUGUUAUUUGUUUGAUGAUUCAACGCAUGCAUAGAUGGCGUUGCGGCCGCUAACAGAAAUUGAUCAAUAUUAUGAACAUCACGUAAACCUGCUUUUCAUUUCAACUAUGGCAAUAUGGCAAUCCGUUUUACAUAAAAAAAAAUGGCGGAAAAAAAAAUCGCACUUUUUUCUCUUUUUUCUACCCGUAGCCAUCUAUCAGUCGGUUUCGUUAUUACAGGCAUGUAAGCAAUUUCAGUUAAUUGUAUCCCAUUACAGUUAAUUGAGUAGCGUGGCUGGAGAACAACGCGUGGCUGGAGGAACAAUUGAAAAAUGGAUAAGAUAAUAAAACAAAAAAAUGAUCAAAUUAUGAAGCUGCAGGCCCAAUUAUUGGAACAACACAAAAUAUUAGAUAACAGCAAAACUAAGGAUGCUCAAAUUUUGAGUCUUCAAGCUCAGCUAGGGGAAAAGAACAAAUUGGAACGGAACAGUUUCCAAACAGUGAAGGAGGUUUUUCCAAACUCAUCCCUAACUGAAUGUGAGGAUGAGUUGGCAUUAGGUGAACACAGCCAGUUAUUCAGUCCACUACCUGACAGUGUGUUAAAGUUAAAUUCUGUUAGUGCUGCACUAAAAGAAUUGUUAGUAAUAAGCUCAUGCAGUGAAGAAACUGAACAAUUGUGGGACCGUAUUUGGGCUGAAUAUGGAUGUGGUACGGAAACCCAGAAAUAGCACGAGUUCAACAUAAAACAUAGAUUAGAAUUUUAGUGGGGAAUCAAGUCAAGUCUGGAAAUGUUACAGGAUGGAAGAGUGAGCCUGCAGUUGAAAAACACUGAAAGUGCAUUACCAUUAAGGUAUGAGGUAAAGUAAUAGAGUAUGCAAAUUGUCUAAUGAGAAGUACCAUCUUGUGUGAAUGAAUCCUGUGUAUUAGCAAUCCUUUAUAGUUCUGUCACAGCUAGAAGCCUCAAAUAAUUCUGCUUCUCUUGCUAAAGAACAACUUGUCCUUUAUGUUCACAGUGUUGGUGAAGCUGGGUACUUAAAUGGCCCUAAAGAUGUUUUAAUUUUGCUGCUGUUGCAGAGAUGAACAUCAUACAUAGA